rnacentral:rRNA from 1 species
GAUCAUGGCUCAGGAUGAACGCUAGCUACAGGCUUAACACAUGCAAGUCGAGGGGCAGCAUGGUCUUAGCUUGCUAAGGCCGAUGGCGACCGGCGCACGGGUGAGUAACGCGGUAUCCACCUGCCUUACACUCUUGAACAGCCUUCUGAAAGGGAGAUUAAUACAAGAUGUUAUCAUGAGUAAGCAUUUUCGCAUGAUUAAAGGUUUACCGGUGUAAGAUGGGGAUGCGUU